AUCGCUUCUCGGCCUUUUGGCUAAGAUCAAGUGCAGAUAAGGGGUAUCUGCAAGGUGUGAGAGCUGAGCUUCUUUUGGGGCCAGGUAUAUAUGUGUAUGUGUAUAUAUGGUGUAUAUAUAUAUAUAUAUAUAUAUAUAUGGCUUUUUUUUUUUUUUUUUUUUGAGCUGAGGGACCGAACCCAG